rnacentral:rRNA from 1 species
UACGGGGGGAGCAAGCGUUGUUCGGAAUCACUGGGCGUAAAGGGAGUCUAGGCGGUUUGGUAAGUGGGAUGUGAAAUGCCCGGGCUCACCCCGGGACCUGCAUCCCAAACUGCUGAGCUUGAGUACAGGAGAGGGUGGGGGAAUUCCAGGUGUAGCGGUGAAAUGCGUAGAUAUCUGGAGGAACACCGGUGGCGAAGGCGCCCACCUGGCCUGCUACUGACGCUGAGGCGCGAAAGCUAGGGGAGCAAACGGG